rnacentral:rRNA from 1 species
GAGAGGGGCUUCGGCCCCAAUUGAGUGGCAAACGGGUGAGUAACGCGUGGGUGACCUACCUUCGAGUGGGGGAUAACGUCUCGAAAGGGACGCUAAUACCGCAUGACAUCCUGCCUUUGGACAGGCGGAGAUCAAAACCGGGGAUCGCAAGACCUGGCGCUUGGAGAGGGGCCCGCGUCCGAUUAGCUGGUUGGUGAGGUAACGGCUCACCAAGGCUUCGAUCGGUAGCCGGCCUGAGAGGGCGGACGGCCACACUGGGACUGAGACACGGCCCAGACUCCUACGGGAGGCAGCAGUGGGGAAUUGUUCGCAAUGGGCGCAAGCCUGACGACGCAACGCCGCGUGGAGGAUGAAGGUCUUCGGAUUGUAAACUCCUGUUGAUCGGGACGAACAUCCAUCGGGAUAACACCCCGGAGGACUGACGGUACCGGUUGAGGAAGCCCCGGCUAACUCUGUGCCAGCAGCCGCGGUAAUACAGAGGGGGCAAGCGUUGUUCGGAAUUACUGGGCGUAAAGGGCGCGUAGGCGGCCACCUAAGUCAGACGUGAAAUCCCUCGGCUCAACCGGGGAACUGCGUCUGAUACUGGGCGGCUUGAAUUCGGGAGAGGAAUGCGGAAUUCCAGGUGUAGCGGUGAAAUGCGUAGAUAUCUGGAGGAACACCGGUGGCGAAGGCGGCAUUCUGGACCGACAUUGACGCUGAUGCGCGAAAGCCAGGGGAGCAAACGGGAUUAGA